UUUUGCAUGCUUAAAGACUACAAUAAAUUGCUACCAAAUUACUCGAUUUUCAAUUUAGCCAGUUCACCCCCUAAAUUGACACACCCUACCUGAGUGUCCAGACCCAUAUAUUAUGACGGCACCAAUGACAACUGAUGAAACACAGCUGACCUGUGGGAGGUGUUUCGCAUAUUAUCCGAGUCAACAGAAGGAGUUCGUCUUUACGAUCAGCUCCUUCCGACCAUCUCCGAGAUGUCAUCCGGAGAGUUGAAGUUUGCUCUUGCCAUCCGGUCUCUUCUCCAGAGUAUCGUCAGAGGUACAAUGAUUUAUAUUAAGAAUAUCUUCAAUAUAAUUAGCCCUAGCAUUUCAAGUGGAUGAAUGUUUAAUUAGUAAGAAUCAUGAUACCACUUAAAAAGUUGUCAAUUUGCUUUAAAAGGGUAUUUGUGGGGGAUAAAUGUAAAGGUGUACAUAUAAAUGAAAAUAUUGAGUGUUUUAUUAUGAGGUACAGCACAGUACAAGCUUUUAGGUAUGAUUUUGUCACCGCUAAAUCUGCAUUACACAUUUUGUAAUCUACUUUUAUUUCCAAAAUCUGGUUAAACUGCCUGGGUUUUUCUCACAGUAGGAGCAGAAAUAGGCACUCCUUGAUUAAUCACGCCUCCAUCACUGUGUCAAGCUCUGCUGACCUGGCUCUGUCAAUGGAAUGUGGCUGUGUACUAUUUACACUUUGGAGGUCACAUUGAAGCAACACUUAGCAAUGAUAGGGAAUUACGCAGUGCAGUAUAUAUUUUAUUUCAAUAUUGUUGCUGCUAGUGAGUUGUACUAAACAAGUAUCCACUAUGUAUUUCAUAACAUUGUAAUUUGUUUUGGCAUUCUCAAUUUUUGUUUCGGAUAUACUGUAUAUAUAGGGAUGCUGUAAUCUAAAAUUAGGUUUUGCAUACAUCAAGAGUACGUUUGUGGCUCCUCACGAGUUGUACUUGCUCAGAAAUAUAUACUGUACAGUAAUGUUAUAUACAGGUUGCACUUAAAAAAAUCCAAACAUCAUUUAUCCUCAAACUGUGAACAUCCAAAAGUGAUCGCAUUGAUUAUAAAAAUUUACCGCGCUGCCAGAUGAUGGCGUUUCAGCACACUAAGCUAAGAUAUCAUCACCGGGGCAUUUUCUCGUAGUCGGUCACUGAGUUACACCCUCCGACUCGCCGUCACCCGCACUUACGAACGGGAUCCCAAUACAUUCACCUCAAAAAGUUGUAAUUAAACUGUCAUUAUUUUCAUCAUUGUUUAACAGCACUUUAUGUUAUGUAACCUAAAGUAUGGGUCCAGGAACUUAUCCCUGUUGUAAGUUGCGGACGGCCUGUAUUAUUAUUAACAUUAUAUUUUGAGUUCCUUAGUUUAGUGUGUUUGUUAUACCUGUACAUGCAGUAUUAUAUAUUAGUUUAUAGUUGUCAUAUAUGUAGUAUUUUAUUUGGUGCUUAAUGAAAUAUUAGGGUUUUUAAUAAUGACCUUGAGUUAGCCAACAAGUUCAGUUAUCUGAAACAUUUUGGAUUUUUGAAGUGGAACCUAUAUUUCAACUCCCUCCUCCAAAUAUUAAUGUACUAUAGGAACAGAAAUGGUUGAUUUAAAUUAUUGCUCCAAACUGCACCACACCAUAGUGCCAUCUUUGGCAUAUACAGUAAAUGAACUUUUGUAAACUGUACUGUACAUAUUUAAUGUCACAUGAUGUGACAAUGUUUGUUUUGUCAAGUGAUGUCAUUAGUGUAACGGUCGGUGCCAAAUCAUCGUUAUUUGGCGCCAUUCAUUUUUAGAUAUACCUGUAUCUCAUUUAUGAGACAUUGUUUAUCUAAGCCAAGAGUUGUUACGUCUUGCAUAUUUCAUCUCCGUCGUCAGAAAAUGUAACGGCGCGAUGUUGAGCAAUUUGUUGCCAGACUAUGGAUGAUAGAUAGGAUCUGUACAUAUCAUAUUAAGUCUUCAACACAAGAUAUUUAUUGUCAACUCUAAAUGAAAUAUGUUGUGAAUAAAACUUUUCAAUUUGUGUUACCAAAGUGAGAAUAAAAGAUUGUCUCCGGCCA
rnacentral:lncRNA from 1 species